rnacentral:rRNA from 1 species
GACGAACCGUCCAAACGUUAUUCGGAAUUACUGGGCUUAAAGGGUGCGUAGGCGGCGCGGAAAGUUGGGUGUGAAAUCCCUCGGCUUAACCGAGGAACUGCGCCCAAAACUACCGUGCUCGAGGGAGAUAGAGGUGAGCGGAACUUAGGGUGGAGCGGUGAAAUGCGUUGAUAUUGGGAGGAACACCAGUGGCGAAGGCGGCUCACUGGACCGGAACUGACGCUGAGGUGCGAAAGCGUGGGGAGCAAACAGG